rnacentral:rRNA from 1 species
CCCCACGGCCACACCGUCCUGCCAGCGCCCGAUCCCGUCCGAUCUCGGAAGCUAAGCAGGGACCGGGCCUGGUUAGUACUUGGACGGGAGACCGCCUGGGAAUUCCAGGUGCUGUAGGCU